UACGAAGGGGGCUAGCGUUGUUCGGAAUUACUGGGCGUAAAGCGCGCGCAGGCGGCCAUUCAAGUCAGGGGUGAAAGCCCAGAGCUCAACUCUGGAACUGCCCUUGAAACUGCAUGGCUUGAGUACGAGAGAGGUGAGUGGAAUUCCCAGUGUAGAGGUGAAAUUCGUAGAUAUUCGUAAGAACACCAGUGGCGAAGGCGACUUUCUGGCUCGAUAACUGACGCUAAGGGCGCGAAAGCGUGGGGAGCAAACAGG
rnacentral:rRNA from 1 species